rnacentral:piRNA from 1 species
UNGCAGAGGCCCUGAUGGAACACUACU